GGAGACUGCCGGUGACAAACCGGAGGAAGGUGGGGAUGACGUCAAGUCCUCAUGGCCCUAUGGGUAGGGCUUCACACGUCAUACAAUGGUCGGUACAGAGGGUUGCCAACCCGCGAGGGGGAGCUAAUCCCACAAAGCCGAUCGUAGUCCGGAUCGCAGUCUGCAACUCGACUGCGUGAAGUCGGAAUCGCUAGUAAUCGUGGAUCAGCAUGUCACGGUGAAUACGUUCCCGGGUCUU
rnacentral:rRNA from 1 species